GUGAGGCUGAGUUAUGGGGGUUAGUGGGGAGGGGGAAUAGGGUGGAGAAGGUUGAAAAAGAGUUUUGAAAAAUGAGUUCAUGAUAGGGAAAAUAUUUUUCUUCAAUUGGAGUAAAAUGAGUUCAUGAGGAAAAUGUUUUCUAAAACAUUUAAGCCAACCAAACAUAGAUAAAUUGGAAAACAUUUUCCGGCAAAUGUUUUCCCUCACGCCAAACACACCCUCUAUCUUGUUAUCUUUUGCGUACAUGCAAUUUAAAUAAAUUUUUGUGAGUACACACAUAUCUUUGUGUUUACUCAAAUGAUGUUAAAGUCAUUUUCUCUUAAUCAUCUGCAUCCAUCUUUAAAAAGCGCCAACACGAUGAGACAGUUGAAUAGGUAUGAUGUGAGAAUCUUAAAAUCUAGCAAGAACAGCUCAACAACAACAACAACUACCAAGCCGCAGCGGACAAGGAGAGCUUACGGCAUUUGGACGCGAAGGGCAAAGCAACACCGGACGAAGUGUGCAAGAGCUAGCGGUAGUUGAUCUCGGGCGAAUCAAAGCAUACUUCCAGGUUCUUCCAUCGGGAGUUGGUACCUCCCGACCUCCUUUUUUUACUCUGUACACCCUUUUACGUUUUAUAUCUAAGCACCCUGUGUGUGGUUUACUUAGUUGAUUCCUAGCUUUCAUCCUUUUGCCUGUAGUACGUGGGUGCAUCACUGUUUUCCGUAAUCGGUUGGGGAUAGUGGCCGCGGCGGGAGNN
rnacentral:lncRNA from 1 species